AGAUAAACCAUAUCUUCAGUCAUAAAGAUUUGCUGUGUCCUUGAUUUCUUUCUGCUUGCUGCCACCGCUCUUCCUGUUUCCCGUGUGAGCCAUUGAGAGAAAAAGUGUUUGAUCUUCAACACAUCGGCCCUAAAAGUCCUAUCCUGCAGAGUACCGGUUUAAAAAGAUCCCCGUUUUGUGAAUCACCAAAUCUGGAUGGAUUUUCAAUUCUGCAAAAAAUCCAGCAGAUGGGCUGCCAUGCAUAAUGCCAUCGUCAAUCAAAGACAGAGACGCUGCCAGUGUGAGCAAGUUUUUUAAUGUAGAUCAGAUGCCAUUAUAAUGGAUCUGACAUCAUUCAGAGGCCAUUUGCACUUCAGGGCUGCAUGCGGUCUGCUUCAUUUGCACAUCAGACACUAGAUGUUGAUGACAAGCUUUUAUUUGUGACCUUCACAUUUCAAUUAUUUUGAGUGGGGCAAACAGAGGAGGCUUUAAAAUAUGCAUGCAAACAAACAAAUGCAACUGGAGGUCCGCACAUACACAGAAUAAGAGAAACAAACCGCGUUCACUUUGUUCAUCCCGUGCACUUUUUUUGUCGUAGGUCACGCACACAAAGAAUAAUCACAACAUAAAAAGGUAUCGAAAGCACAAAAUGAGAUGUCUGAUUAAAUACAGUUCACGUUUAUUUGCAUGAACAAGUGCUGUGAUUCACUCUGAAUGCUCCCAUUGGCAUUUUAAGACUAACUGAUGUAGACUGUUCACUGAAUUAGAAUUAGACUGGUAUUCAUGUAAUUGAAUAACAAGGACAAGCCAGAGGGCUCGUUUCAAUCUUAAUUUUGUUCAACGGCCAACUUUAUCAACUUUUUUUUUCCCGGGUCAUUGCAGUUAUAUAGCACUUUUUGUAACUUUGCAGAAAUAAUACAAAUAGUAAUUUAUGGCCAAUAUUAUAAAAGGGUAUAACACUUAUAGAAAUUUGGGACAGGCUAUAUAUAUAUACAUAUAGUUUAUCUAUAAAUUAAUUUGUUCAUGAAUGAACAAAUGACUCAUGAUCCGAAGUCCUGUUCUGAAUCAAGUGAUUCACUCUCCAAAGUUCUGAUUUGAACAUUGCUUUAUGAUCCUAUCUGAAACAAAUGAUUUGUGAACCUGUUCCAAUCUAAAUCAUAUGAUUCACAAUAAACUCUCCGAAGGCCCGAUCUGAAUGAAAUGAUUUGUGAUAUGAGCACUGAAGUUCCAGUCUGAUCCAAAAGAUUCACAAAUCCACUCUGAAGCUCCGAUCUAAAUCAGAUGAUCGAUAUGCGAUUUGAAGACGAAUGGUUUAACUGAUUCAGACUUUAUAAGCGAUGUCUAAACUCAAAAAUGAAUAGCCCUUUUGUUCUGGUUUUUAUUUGUGAGUUUGAGCUUGAAUCAAUCAGAUGAGUCCCAGCGUAAAUGACUCACUCAGUUCAAUCGCUUUGUCUUUUUUUCAGCUAACUGAAAAGCGAAAAAAGUCUAAUGUGCACAGAUAAAAUGUCCAUAUUUUAAAUUCUUCCUCCAACACAAAUUUACAAAUGUAUUCAUUUGAGAUAACCAGUUCACUGCUAACUAGAGAAGCACUCCAUUAAAAUGACAAAAUGCACCUCAAAACACAUUUUAGAUGGAAACUAGAUGAUCAAGUUUGUAGCUUAAAGUCUGCAUGAACUGGACGUUUGUGACUGAUUUUAAUUCUGUAUUGUGACAUAGAUAUGUCCAAGGAUAUAGCCUAACAGCUGCUCGGAUUCACACUAUAGAUCUUCAGUACCCUUACAGGACAAAGGCUUCGACUUUCUGACCUCCAUGUGGAAGAAAGCUUCCAAAACCAACCGCUGGAAGUGAAAAGGAUUCAAAGUGACCUUAGGAACGUAGUCAGGCCUUGGUCGCAGCAACCCUUUCCCUAAUCCUGGUGCAAAAUCCACGCACAAAGGUGAGAUAGAAAGAGCUUGUAAAUCCUCAACUCUGUUGAGGGAGGAAAACGCUAUUAACAGAAUCGUUUUCAGUGUCAGGAUCUUCUAAACUUAAAAGGUAUGACGCUCGCCUGAUGAAAGUGAUCAAUCACAUUACUGUGGUCAGUCUGCAUUCUUAUCCUUUUUUUUCUACCAGAGACGACGUGAAAAGAGCCACAGGGCAGCAUUGGGUCAACUUCCUUAACAUUCAUCUUCGAAAGGCCUUUCUCCACAAGUCCAGGACUGAAAGCUGAGGUGUGAGAUGUACUUCUCUCUUCAUUUAGUUUCACCGCAGGUCGUGCUGGAACACCAGGCCAAUGUUUACACCUCCUCAGAUCAUAUUAUCCAAAUGGGAGAUCAUGCCUGUAGCCUCGAGACACGAGGGAUCGGUCUGGUGCACCGUGUUCAAAUGUCAGAUCCCAGUUAAACACCUCUGCCACCGCGAGUUCUCAUCUGGAUCAGGACUGGAGAGGUGAUCGCUGACGUCUGAUCGAUUUCAGAUAGGGCACCGGGGCUGCGAUCGGCUGACAAGCGUGAGCUCGGAGGGUAAUUGAUGAAUUAAAGGAGAUCGGCGGGUCAUCUUUGAUGUGGAAACUUUUGGAAAGAUUGGAUUGUGUUACUUAAUUGGCUCAUAUUGUCUUGCAAGGCAGACGAUGCUUAUCAGCAUCUCUCACAUUUCAUCACCCUCUCCCUCGAGUCCUGAAUCCAUCAGAUUAUCUAAAACAAGGGAGGAUGAGAUUAUGACUGUAAAAUAGAGUUAUUCUCACAUGGUUGUGCAGAAGCUGUUUGCUGCCGCAUGUUUAGCGGAUUUCAAGUGUGAUCAAAUGCACUGGUUUAUUUCAGUAAAAUAAAAACCAGUUAAAGCAUUUUUAUUAGAAAAAAAUGACAAAACUGAGCAACUAAUUCACAAUAUUUAAUAGAAUGUUCUCCGUAAAAAAGUUAUUCGCAUAUUAAUGUGCUGAUUAUAUAGACGAGCAUUGACUCAAAAUAUAGAAAAUCGACUGAAAGAAGAAAUUUAGCAAAUAUAUUUAGCAUUUUAUUGUACACAGUAGUUUAUUGCACGCAUUAGGGUGAUAAAUUGCCUUGUCAGUGUGUUCGUAAUAUGCCGUAUAUCUGCUGUGAAUAAUAAUAUAAGUACCUGAAAAUAAAUGUCAAGGAUUCAAUAUUUAAUGAUGGAUAGGCACUUAGUCAUAUCUGCUGAAAAUGUAAAACUGUAGGAUUCUGACCUAUCAAGACUUUUGGAAGCUUACUGGGUAUGUGCAAUAUAAUUUUUAAUCUAUCAUACGUAUAUAUACACAAACAUAAACAAUACAUUUAUUACAGUAUUUAUUCAUCUUUGUCAAUAUUCUUUCAUAAAAAUAUUCUU